GACGAAGGGGGCUAGCGUUGUUCGGAAUUACUGGGCGUAAAGCGCGUGUAGGCGGUUAUCCAAGUCGGAUGUGAAAGCCUUGAGCUCAACUCAAGAAAUGCAUUCGGUACUGGGUGACUAGAGGACCGGAGAGGAUAGUGGAAUUCCCAGUGUAGUGGUGAAAUACGUAGAGAUUGGGAAGAACACCAGUGGCGAAGGCGGCUAUCUGGACGGUUUCUGACGCUAAGACGCGAAAGCGUGGGGAGCAGACAGG
rnacentral:rRNA from 1 species